CAACUGUUUUGUUCCACAGACGCUUCCGUAGAAUACUAGGAAGUUGCUUCGGCGAUGUUGAGAGGCCAUUCACUCGUAUCAUCAUCAGUCUAUAAUUUAAUCCGUAUUGUGAAUUUCACCCGAGGUAGAGAUGGGGGACAUACGUCAGUCCUUGUUGCCUCGUGAUGUGCUGAGUGCCGCCAAGGAGCUGCUGUACCACUUGGACAUCUACAUCAGUAACCUGGUGCAAUCGGGUAGGCAGCCUCCCCAAGUAGACACGAAGACCUUGGAGCUGGUUGAGGAAUUCAUUCUGCAUGCACCAAAGGACAGAAGCGCACUGACCAGGAGAAUGAGUGCACUUCAGGAGCUUCAGCUUCUGGAGAUAAUGUGCAGCU